GGGGGGCAGGAGAACAAUAGCGAUGCCGGGGGGCAGGGGAGCCGGGUCCGCCUUCAGGCGCAGGUCAGCGAGCGUGGGGCCGGUCAGCCUGGAGAGGCGGGUCCUCAGAGAGGAGGAUCAGGAUGGGGAUGGCGAGGGGGAAUUCCGGGACGAGGGGGUCCCUUUCUACGUGAACCGAGGUGGGCUGCCCGUCGAUGAAGCCACCUGGGAGAGGAUGUGGAGGCACGUAGCCAAGAUUCACCCUGAAGGAGAGACGAUGGUGCAAAAGAUUCGGGGGUUGCCCUACCUCCCCAAGAUUCCAAUACCAUGUGUGCCUUCAUUUCAGCCAUCCACAUCCAUCGUUGACCGCCUGGAAGCCAUACAGAGAUACACCAGGGAAUUGCAGUACAAUCACACCGGGACACAGUUCUAUGAGAUUAAGAAGAAUCGGCCUCUGACCGGUUUGAUGGAUCUGGCGCGGGAAAUGAUUCGGGAAUCGCUGCCGAUAAAAUGCCUGGAAGCUGUGAUCCUGGGAAUAUACCUCACCAACAAUAUGCCUGGAGUAGAGAGAUUUCCCAUCAGCUUCAAAACCCAGUUCUCAGGGAGCUAUUUCCGGCACAUUGUGCUGGGGAUCCACUGCGCUGGCCGCUUUGGGACGCUGGGCAUGAGCCGGCGCGAGGACCUGAUGUUCAAAGCUCCGGGCUUCAGGACUUUAAUGGACCUGGUCUCCGAGUAUGAGGCCUCCUACAGCAAGUACUGGCACUCGCUGAAGAAGGUGAAGAUCGGGCAGUACGUCUCGCACGACCCUCACAGUGUGGAGCAGAUUGAAUGGAAGCACUCGGUGCUGGACGUGGAGAGGCUGAGCCGCGAGGAGCUGCGGAGGGAGCUGGAGCGACACACGCGUGACAUGCGGCUGAAGGUUGUCAAGGGAAGCAGCGGCUCCUCGUCCCCACCCCGCGAGAGGAAGAGGGACGUGUCCUCACCUCACCGGGGCCAGGCCAGCCCACACCGCCGUAACAGCCGGAGCGACAGACGACCCUCAGCAGAAAAGAAGAGUGCCGAGCAAAAAACCCUGAAUGACGUGGGCUAUCAGAUCCGUGUGUAAGCGGCAGCUCCACUUCAGUGUGUGAGUGAGACUGUGUCUCCCAUCUUCACCACACCCUUCACUCGCUUGGUUGGAGGCCUAGAAGACCGAGUGGGAUGUGGAGUAAGAAUGAGGGAGCAAGUAUGGUAUCCAGUCAGCAGUAUUAAAUCAUUGUGACUUCUGUUCUCUUUGGAUAGAUGAGAUGUCUCCAGUACGUAUCCGUGGAGUCCUGUAUAAGCUGUGUAACUGAAGAGCAGUCACUAUUUAGAGGGGCUACUUCUCGCUGCUCGUGUGAGGCCGCGGGUCACAGUUGAGGUCAGCUGCUGCACAGGAUUUCCUGGGGUCUGAUUGCUGUCUGCGAGUGCAGGGAGUUAACUAUUGGGGUUUGUUCAGGGGCACUCUGUAACUGAUCGAGUCAGACCAGUGACCCUGAAUACACUCCGAGAGGUGCUGUCAGAGCUCAACAAUGGCAGUGAAGUGGGACCUGGAGGAUGGUGCCCAGUGUUCCUGAGCGGGGAUUGAGCACUGCUGUUAUUCAGAGAUCAGGGGAGCCAUUACAUCACAACUCAUUUCAAUGGCGUUCCUUAAAUAAGGAGAGCAACGUUUCUAGGAAUACCACAAUUUGGUCCCAAUGUUUGUGGUUUUACAGGGUAUUAGCAAUGUAACGCGCUGACAGAGCAGUAGCAAUGUAACACGUUGGUGGGGGGUAGAAGUUGUGCCCUGCUCUGAGAGCGUCUCUAUACAGGCCCAAGGUGUUUGCUGGGUGCCAGAGUGACUUACCACCUAACGUUGGAGAGGGGUUUAAUUUAUUUUUAAUAUUUAUUCUGAAGAUACAGUAUUACUUUAGAGCUUGUUUUGAAGUUCUUUCCCAGGCCAACAUGUUUUUCCUCAUGGUCAUAAAUCAAUGGUGGCCAACCUGUGGCCCACAGGGUUGUCAGGAAGCAGCCCCCGAACAUUUGCAUCAGUCAGUCAGUUCGGUCGGUAGUGUGUUUACAGCUUUUUUUCUUGAUUGAAAUUUUUUUGAUUUAUAACAAAUAAAGAAAUA